rnacentral:rRNA from 1 species
UACGUAGGGGGCGAGCGUUGUCCGGAUUUAUUGGGCGUAAAGAGCGUGUAGGCGGCCAGGUAGGUCUGCUGUGAAAACUCGAGGCUCAACCUCGAGACGUCGGCGGAAACCAUCUGGCUAGAGUCCGGAAGAGGAGAGUGGAAUUCCUGGUGUAGCGGUGAAAUUCGUAGAUAUUCGCAAGAACACCAGUGGCGAAGGCGGCUCACUGGCCCGGUACUGGCGAC